GCAUCCUGAUUUUAUGUUUUUGGUUGGGGUGACCGCGGAGAAAAACUUAUCCUCCGUAAUGAAUAAGCAAUAAGUUACAACUUUACGCAUUAAAAAAUUAACAUACCGACCCAAAUGUAUUGAUCAAUGAACCAAGUUACCCCAGGGAUAACAGCACAAUCCACUUUGAGAGCCCCUAUCGACAAGUGGGCUUAUGACCUCGAUGUUGGAUCGAGG
rnacentral:rRNA from 1 species